rnacentral:sRNA from 1 species
UUCCUUCAACCAUACACGGAGAAAUGGG